ACUUAAAUUGAAGAGUUUGAUCAUGGCUCAGAUUGAACGCUGGCGGCAGGCCUAACACAUGCAAGUCGAGCGGUAGCACAGAGAGCUUGCUCUCGGGUGACGAGCGGCGGACGGGUGAGUAAUGUCUGGGAAACUGCCUGAUGGAGGGGGAUAACUACUGGAAACGGUAGCUAAUACCGCAUAACGUCGCAAGACCAAAGUGGGGGACCUUCGGGCCUCAUGCCAUCAGAUGUGCCCAGAUGGGAUUAGCUAGUAGGUGGGGUAACGGCUCACCUAGGCGACGAUCCCUAGCUGGUCUGAGAGGAUGACCAGCCACACUGGAACUGAGACACGGUCCAGACUCCUACNGGGAGGCAGCAGUGGGGAAUAUUGCACAAUGGGCGCAAGCCUGAUGCAGCCAUGCCGCGUGUGUGAAGAAGGCCUUCGGGUUGUAAAGCACUUUCAGCGGGGAGGAAGGCGGUGAGGUUAAUAACCUCAUCGAUUGACGUUACCCGCAGAAGAAGCACCGGCUAACUCCGUGCCAGCAGCCGCGGUAAUACGGAGGGUGCAAGCGUUAAUCGGAAUUACUGGGCGUAAAGCGCACGCAGGCGGUCUGUCAAGUCGGAUGUGAAAUCCCCGGGCUCAACCUGGGAACUGCAUUCGAAACUGGCAGGCUAGAGUCUUGUAGAGGGGGGUAGAAUUCCAGGUGUAGCGGUGAAAUGCGUAG
rnacentral:rRNA from 1 species